CAAGAGCUUAUGGAAAAAUGUAAAUUCCUGCCUCUUCCCAUGGAACUAGUCUUCAGGGAAGAAAGGAAGAGGGAAGUUCCCAGAAGUAAUGCCAUUGCAGGAAAAUCCAGUCUGCUUGUGGAUCUCCAGGACAAGUCCCUGAACUUGGCAUAAAAAUCCUGAAGUGUUGCACCAGGCCAAAAGUUAGUUGCCCUAGGGAAAGAUGCACAGGCUGGAAUUAUAAGGAAAUUAGACAUUUUAAUUUUAUUUGUGUGACUAUUGCAUGUAGGGCACUGUGCCAAAACUUCUCUAGGCUUCAUAGAGCUUAGAAUUAGAGCAAUGGGCAGACGCAGAAGAAAAGGACCCUGGGGACCAGACUUAACACUGUAGUCUCAGGUAACAUGAGACCGUAGGAGCAGAGGGGGAACAUUGCCCAGCGCACCUAAGUGACUGCAGGACUAACACUUUAAUUAUACAUUUCUCAGUCAAGCAUUUGGACAUAUAUCCUGGCUACAAAUGGGCUUAUAGUUUCCAAAUACAGUUGGACCUAAAACUCUGCUUUGAUGGCUAAGUGAUGUGAACCUGACCAGAAAAGAAUGACCAAGAGUGUAACAGAGCUCUCCUGAGAAACAGAAUGAAGAGGAUAUAUGUGUGUAUGUGUGUGUGUAUGUAUGAUAUAUAUGAUAUACAUAUUACCUGAGAGAGAGACUGAGACAAAAACAAAAAUAGUUAUUUCAAGAGAAUGACUCAUUUGAUUGUGGGGCUGUUAAGUCAAAUCUGCGGGGUAGACCAAUAGGCUGGAGACCCAGGGAAGAGUCCAUGUUGAAGCUCAUGUCCAAAGGCCAUCUGGAGGCAGAAUUCUCCCUUCUUCAGGGAAUGUUAGUCUUUAUCACUAAGGCCUUCAGCUGAUUGGAUGCAUCCCACCCACAUUAUGCAUUCUCAUCUGCUUUACUCAGAGUCUAUUGAUUAAAAUGUAAAUUGUAUUUUUAAAGAAAUACCUUAAUAGCAAAUCUAGACUGAUGUUUGACCAAAUACUUGGGGACUUUGGCCUGGCCAAAUUGACACAUAAAAUAACCAUCACAAGGAGUAAAAUGUCAGCAGGUUAAAAGGCUUCAUUAUCAGAAAGUUGGCAAAGAAGUUACCAUUGAGGCUCAGCGGAAAUGAAUCUGACUAGUAUCCUUGAGGAUUCAUGUUCAUCCUUGGCCUCGCUCAGUGGGUUAAGGACCCCGAAUUGCAGUGAGCUCUGGCGUAGGUCAGAGACAGGGCUCAGAUCUGGCGUUGCUGUGUCUGUAGUAUAGACCAGUGGCUACAGUUCUGAUUCAACCCUUAGCCUGGGAACCUCCAUAAGCAGCAGGUGUGGCCCUAAAAAGACCAAAAAAAAAAAAGAAGCUGGGAAAAGGAGUGGAUGGAGAAGCUAGACUCAGGUCUCUUUGUCAAAGCUUUCAUUGUUGCCAUGUUCCAUUGUUUCUUCAUUAAAACAAAACAAAACAAAACCCUUUAAAUAAAUAAAUAAAUAAACAAGAAAACA
rnacentral:lncRNA from 1 species